CCUACGGGUGGCAGCAGUGAGGAAUAUUGGUCAAUGGACGAGAGUCUGAACCAGCCAAGUAGCGUGAAGGAUGACUGCCCUCUGGGUUGUAAACUUCUUUUAUAUGGGAGUACAAUGUUCCACGUGUGGGAUUUUGUAUGUACCAUAUGAAUAAGGAUCGGCUAACCUCGUGCCAGCAGCCGCGGUAAUACGGAGGAUCCGAGCGUUACCCGGAUUUAGUGGGGUUAAAGGGAGCGUAGGUGGAUUGUUAAGUCAGGUGUGAAAGUUUGCGGCUCAACCGUACAAUUGCAGUUGAAAAUGGCAGUCUUGAGUACGUUAGAGGUGGGCGGAAUUCGAGGUGUAGCGGUGAAAUGCUUAGAUAUCACGAAGAACUCCGAUGGCGAAGGCGACUCACUGGACUACAACUGACACUGAGGCGCGAAAGUGUGGGUAUCAAACAGGAUUAGAUACCCCGGUAGUC
rnacentral:rRNA from 1 species